rnacentral:rRNA from 1 species
UACGGGGGGGCAAGCGUUGUUCGGAAUUACUGGGCGUAAAGGGCUCGUAGGCGGCCAACUAAGUCAUACGUGAAAUCCCUCGGCUUAACCGGGGAACUGCGUCUGAUACUGGAUGGCUCGAGUUUGGGAGAGGGAUGCGGAAUUCCAGGUGUAGCGGUGAAAUGCGUAGAUAUCUGGAGGAACACCGGUGGCGAAGGCGGCAUCCUGGACCAACACUGACGCUGAGGAGCGAAAGCCAGGGGAGCAAACGGG